rnacentral:tRNA from 1 species
GCCCAGGUAGCUCAGUCGGUAGAGCAGUGGACUGAAAAUCCGCGUGUCGGCGGUUCGAUUCCGUCCCUGGGCA